CGGCGCUCCCUUCCAAUAAACUUGCCUCCGCCCCUUCCGUGCCCACACGCCCCCUCCCCACCCCCACGCGUGGCCGCCCCCUGAAAAAGGCGCCCGGGAGUGUAAAGCGCUUUGGCUGCCGGAAAGUGAAACAAGAGAGCGAGCGCGGCGAGGGCAGCCCCGUCGCCGCCGCCCCCCAUCCCUCCCCAAGCGGCCACCUCUCGGGGGUCUCCCACCCGCACGCCCAAUUCGCCGGCGCACACCCCGGGGUCGCCAGGGCUUUCCGGACGCUCCUCCUUGGGACUUGCAGCUUGCCUCCAAUCAGAGGGAUGAAGCCCCUUCUUUGUAAAGAAAUUUGAAACUGGAGCAGUUUGAAUUCAAAAUCUACAUUAAACUGUAAAGUUGUUGUUUGGUUUCCAUGCCUCCCAACAACUUUUUGUUUGGGGGGGGGGUCUAGAAGAAAAUGUUUGGGCUCUGCUUCUCCCGCCAAUUUCCCCUGGGAAAAUCCACUUUUUACUGCUGAAUCAAAUUUUACUGCUGAAUGUCAAUUGGGUGGAAAGCAACAAGGCAAACUGAAAACCUCUUGGACCCCUGCUUUCUAGGCAGGGGACACGCAAAGCACGGACGAGCCCUUUGAACCAGCAGGAAAACCAGUUUGGUUGCUGAAUGUAUCCAGAUGCCACAGACAUGAGGAAAGAUGCAAACCUGUUUCGGAUUGUACUGGAAGCAAAUGUUAAUGGAGGUGAACUCUUAACAUGCAGUUCCAUGUUAAGUUCAUGCUUGGUGCCCCUCCGGAACUGACCAGAGGGGCACCAAGCAUGAACUUAAGUGGCAUCCAGUACCUAAGGUGGGAUACAACUGUUGUUGAACAGAUUUGGAACUGUGAGCACGGUGCUAUCCAAUUCAACAUAUAUGCAAACCAACAUAUAACUGGACAAUUGCCAAGAAAGUCCAAAGAGGAAAUUUCCCCAAAAUGAAGGAGCUGGUUAAAAAGAUGUUGAAGGGGAAAGUGUAUAGGGUUAAAUCUCCCCAGAAUGCUUGGGAAUGCUUAAAACCACAGAUAGUAAGAUUACAACAGGACUAUAUUACAUAAAUAAGGAACGGUACCACUUAGAGCCAAGAGCUUUUUCUCUAAUGGUACUGGUGUUUUGGACAAACUUUUUCAUUGGUGGCGCAGAAAUUCAAAAGGUCCCAUCCAUAAUGGCAUUCUAUCAGCUGUUGAAGAUACUCCACCUGAGGCAAGCAUUCCCCUGAACCUGAACUUCCUGAACAAAUUGUUUUAAUUGUUGUUCAGCUGCAUUCUUUUUAACUGGCUUAUUUAAUGUAUAUCUUAAUUAUGGGUGUUUUUAAUGCUUUGAGGGAAUUGUUUUAUUGUGUGUCUUAAUGAUGUAUGGGUUUAUAAUUGAUUUUAUACUUGUAAACUACUUAGAAGCCA